rnacentral:rRNA from 1 species
UACGAAGGGGGCUAGCGUUGCUCGGAAUGACUGGGCGUAAAGGGCGCGUAGGCGGCGCAUUUAGUCAGGCGUGAAAUUCCUGGGCUCAACCUGGGGACUGCGCUUGAUACGGCUAGGCUAGAGGAUGGAAGAGGGUCGCGGAAUUCCCAGUGUAGAGGUGAAAUUCGUAGAUAUUGGGAAGAACACCGGUGGCGAAGGCGGCGACCUGGUCCAUUACUGACGCUGAGGCGCGACAGCGUGGGGAGCAAACAGG